GUAGGUGAACCUGCGGAAGGAUCAUUAACACGUAUCCAACGUUAAAACAACCCUGUGAAUUUUCAAUAACCCGAUCUUGCUAGCAAAAGCGGUUGAGGUAUUUAAUUGCUUCCCUAAUCUGUUUGCUAGCAAGCGGUGAGGCAAGUGACCUGGCACUCCAAGCAAUCAAUUCUCUGUCAGUGGGCGUUGGUUGCAAGGAUGACGCAGUAAACGAUCGUUGGAGGCCAACACGGCCGACGACCGGGUCAGC
rnacentral:misc_RNA from 1 species